CGUAACAAGGUUUCCGUAGGUGAACCUGCGGAAGGAUCAUUAACCUUUCAAAUCAGGGUGCGGCGCGGCCGCCGAGGAGCGGAAACAAUCCUUGGGAGGUAUGCGGGGGCUUCGAGCCCCCCAUUUACGCACGCACGACUGCCAUCCUUACUUUACGAGCACCUUCUGUUCUCCCUCGGCGGGGCAACCUGCCGUUGGAACCGAAUAAACUCUUUUUGCAUCUAGCAUUACCUGUUCCGAAACAAACAAUCGUUACAACUUUCAACAAUGGAUCUCUUGGCUCUGGCAUCGAUGAAGAACGCAGCGAAAUGCGAUAAGUAGUGUGAAUUGCAGAAUUCAGUGAAUCAUCGAAUCUUUGAACGCACAUUGCGCCCCUCGGUAUUCCGUGGGGCAUGCCUGUUCGAGCGUCAUCUACACCCUCAAGCUCUGCUUGGUGUUGGGCGUCUGUCCCGCCUCCGCGCGUGGACUCGCCCCAAAUUCAUUGGCAGCGGUCCUUGCCUCCUCUCGCGCAGCACAUUGCGCUUCUCGAGGGGCUACGGCUCGCGUCCAACAAGCACAUUUACCGUCUUUGACCUCGGAUCAGGUAGGGAUACCCGCUGAACUUAAGCAUAUCA
rnacentral:rRNA from 1 species